rnacentral:rRNA from 1 species
ACUCAAAUGAAUUGACGGGGACCCGCACAAGCGGUGGAUUAUGUGGAUUAAUUCGAUGCAACGCGAAAAACCUUACCUACCCUUGACAUGUACGGAGUUUCCCAGAGAUGGGAAAGUGCCCGAAAGGGAACCGUAACACAGGUGCUGCAUGGCUGUCGUCAGCUCGUGUCGUGAGAUGUUGGGUUAAGUCCCGCAACGAGCGCAACCCUUGUCGUUAAUUGCCAUCAUUUAGUUGGGCACUUUAACGAGACUGCCGGUGACAAACCGGAGGAAGGUGGGGAUGACGUCAAGUCCUCAUGGCCCUUAUGGGUAGGGCUUCACACGUAAUACAAUGGCCGGUACAGAGGGCUGCCAACCCGCGAGGGGGAGCUAAUCUCAGAAAGCCGGUCGUAGUCCGGAUUGUUCUCUGCAACUCGAGAGCAUGAAGUUGGAAUCGCUAGUAAUCGCGGAUCAGCAUGUCGCGGUGAAUACGUUCCCGGGUCUUGCACACACCGCCCGU